rnacentral:rRNA from 1 species
GUUGGGUUAAGUCCCGUAACGAGCGCAACCCUUGUCCUUAGUUGCUAGCAUUAAGUUGAGAACUUUAAGGAGACUGCCGGUGACAAACCGGAGGAAGGUGGGGACGACGUCAAGUCAUCAUGGCCCUUACGAGUAGGGCUACACACGUGCUACAAUGGCGUAUACAGAGGGCGGCGAGCUAGCGAUAGUGAGCGAAUCCCAUAAAGUACGUCGUAGUCCGGAUUGGAGUCUGCAACUCGACUCCAUGAAGUCGGAAUCGCUAGUAAUCGUGAAUCANAACGUCACGGUGAAUACGUUCCCGGGCCUUGUACACAC